rnacentral:rRNA from 1 species
GGACAACCUGCCCUUAGGACGGGGAUAAACCCGGGAAACUGGGUAUAAUACCCGAUAGGUCUCGAUUGCUGGAAUGCAUCGAGAUUUAAAGCUCCGGCGCCUAAGGAUGGGUCUGCGGCCUAUCAGGUAGUAGUGGGUGUAGCGUACCUACUAGCCUACGACGGGUACGGGUUGUGAGAGCAAGAGCCCGGAGAUGGAUUCUGAGACAUGAAUCCAGGCCCUACGGGGCGCAGCAGGCGCGAAAACUUUACAAUGCGGGAAACCGUGAUAAGGGGACACCGAGUGCCAGCAUCAUAUGCUGGCUGUCCGGGUGUGUAAAAUACACUCGUUAGCAAGGGCCGGGCAAGACCGGUGCCAGCCGCCGCGGUAACACCGGCGGCCCGAGUGGUGAUCGUGAUUAUUGGGUCUAAAGGGUCCGUAGCCGGUUUGGUCAGUCCUCCGGGAAAUCUGAUAGCUCAACUAUUAGGCUUUCGGGGGAUACUGCCAGACUUGGAACCGGGAGAGGUAAGAGGUACUACAGGGGUAGGAGUGAAAUCUUGUAAUCCCUGUGGGACCACCUGUGGCGAAGGCGUCUUACCAGAACGGGUUCGACGGUGAGGGACGAAAGCUGGGGGCACGAACCGGAUUAGAUACCCGGGUAGUCCCAGCCGUAAACGAUGUUCGCUAGGUGUCAGGCAUGGCGCGACCGUGUCUGGUGCCGCAGGGAAGCCGUGAAGCGAGCCACCUGGGAAGUACGGCCGCAAGGCUGAAACUUAA